rnacentral:ncRNA from 1 species
GUCUAAGUUUAAACAACCUCGUAUUGUGAAACUGCGAAUGGCUCAAUAUAUCAGUUUUAGUCUACUCGAUAGUACCUAAUUACUUGGAUAACCGUAGUAAUUCUAGAGCUAAUACAUGCAUAUAUACCCAACUGCUUGUCGGACGGGUAGCAUUUAUUAGAUUGAAACCAAUUCACUUCGGUGAUUUUGUUGAAUCAUAAUGACUGUGCCGAUCGCUCUAAGCUGUAAGUCGUUUGAUUUUCUGCCCUAUCAGCUUUGGAUGGUCAUGGGCCUACCAUGGAGUUAACGGGUAACGGGGAAUUAGGGUUUGAUUCCGGAC